GCCAGCAUGGUAUAGUGGUUUGAGCAUUGGACUAUGACUCUGGAGACCAGGGUUCAAAUCCCUACUCAGCCA
rnacentral:tRNA from 1 species